GACGAACGCUGGCGGCGUACUUAACACAUGCAAGUCGAACGGAAAGGCCCUGCUUUUGUGGGGUGCUCGAGUGGCGAACGGGUGAGUAACACGUGAGUAACCUGCCCUUGACUUUGGGAUAACUUCAGGAAACUGGGGCUAAUACCGGAUAGGAGCUCCUGCUGCAUGGUGGGGGUUGGAAAGUUUCGGCGGUUGGGGAUGGACUCGCGGCUUAUCAGCUUGUUGGUGGGGUAGUGGCUUACCAAGGCUUUGACGGGUAGCCGGCCUGAGAGGGUGACCGGCCACAUUGGGACUGAGAUACGGACCAGACUCCUACGGGAGGCAGCAGUGGGGAAUAUUGCACAAUGGGCGGAAGCCUGAUGCAGCAACGCCGCGUGCGGGAUGACGGCCUUCGGGUUGUAAACCGCUUUCGCCUGUGACGAAGCGUGAGUGACGGUAAUGGGUAAAGAAGCACCGGCUAACUACGUG
rnacentral:rRNA from 1 species